rnacentral:pre_miRNA from 1 species
CAUGUACUCCCUCCGUCUGGAAAUACUUGUCGGGAAAAUGGGUAAAAAUGGAUGUAUCUAGAACUAAAAUGCAUCUAGAUACAUCCAUUUCUCCGACAAGUAUUUCUGGACAAAGGGAGUAUGUG